ACGAAUGGUCUCCCAGGCCUUCAACCCUUAAACCUGUGGAAGUGAGACGUGCUUCGGCCCUCUCUCAUGGGAGGGCCGUUUCUAUGCAGAAUCAAGUCUUGUGUCUGAAUCCAAUAAAGAUUUA
rnacentral:misc_RNA from 1 species